rnacentral:lncRNA from 1 species
UGGGGACAUUUAUGGCCACGUGGUGUCCUGGAGGCCAACCUGUUCCCUCCAUAGCCAUUGUAACCAUGACCUGGUGGCACUCUGGGGACAUUUAUGGCCACGUGGUGUCCUGGAGGCCAGCGUGUUCCCUCCAUAGCCACCCUACCAAGACCUGGUGGCACUUUGGGGACCCUUUUGGCCCCGUGCUGACCCCGCCGUCCCCCCCUCUUCCCUCAGGGUGACGCAGUGCAAGUACAAGCGCAUCGGGUGCCCGUGGCAGGGCCCGUUCCACGAGCUGACGGUGCACGAGGCCGAGUGCACGCACCCGACCAAGACGGGCAACGAGCUGAUGGAGAUCCUGGACGAGAUGGACCAGAGCCGCAAGAAGGAGAUGCAGCUCUACAACAGCAUCUUCAGCCUGCUCAGCUUCGAGAACAUCGGCUACACCGGUACGGGGACGGCGGCUGCGCGGGAACCGGGCGCUGCCCUCACCCUUGGGGGGGUGGGGGGGUGGCUCCGUGGGGUGUGCCAUGGGGUGGUGGCAUCGUGUGCCAUGGGGUGGUGGCUCUGUGUCCCGUGGGGUGGUGGCAUCAUGUUCCAUGGGGUGGUAGCAACUCGUUGUGGGGUGGUGGCUUGAUGUCCCAUGGGGCGGUGGCAUCGCGUUGUGGGGCAAUGGCAUCGCGUUGUGGGGUGGUGGCUCUGUGUCCCAUGGGGUGGUGGCAUCUCGUUGUGGGGUGGUGGCAUCUCGUUGUGGGGUGGUGGCAUCUCAUUGUGGGAUGGUGGCCCUGUGUCCCAUGGGGUGGUGGCAUCGUGGUGUGUCCCAUGGGGUGGUGGCAUCGUGGUGUGUCCCAUGGGGUGGUGGCAUCAUGUCCCAUGGGGUGGUGGCAUUGCGUUGUGGGAUGGUGGCUUGAUGUCUCAUGGGGCGGUGGCCCUGUCCCAUGGGGUGGUGGCAUUGUGGUGUGUCCCAUGGGGCGGUGGCAUCUCGUUGUGGGGUGGUGGCUCUGUCCCAUGGGGUGGUGGCAUCGUGGUGUGUCCCAUGGGGUGGUGGCAUCGCGUUGUGGGGUGGUGGCAUCGCGUUGUGGGGUGGUGGCAUCGCGUUGUGGGGUGGUGGCAUCGCGUUGUGGGGUGGUGGCUCUGUGUCCCAUGGGGUGGUGGCUCUGUCCCAUGGGGUGGUGGCAUCGUGGUGUGUCCCAUGGGGUGGUGGCAUCGCGUUGUGGGAUGGUGGCUUGAUGUCCCAUGGGGUGGUGGCCCUGUCCCGUGGGGUGGUGACAUUGUGGUGUGUCCCGUGGGGAGGUCGCAUCAUGAUGUCCCGUGGGGUGGUGGCAUCACCGUGAGGGAUGGUGGCUUAAUGUCCCAUGGGAUGGUGGCUCUGUCCUAUGGGGUGAUGGCAUCGCGCUGUGGGGCGGUGGCGCUGUGCUGCGCUGUGGGGCGGAGGCACUGUGCUGUGGGGCGGUGGCGUUGGCCGUGGGGCAGCGUGGAAUGUGGGGCAGGGCUGGCCAUGGGGCUCCGUUGCGAUCCCCUUGGGGUUCCCCUUGGGAUCUUAUUGGGGUUCCCCUUGGGAUCUUAUUGGGGUUCCCAUUGCUGUUCCUUUUGGGGUUCCCAUUGCUGUUCUUUUGGGGUUCCCAUUGCAGGUCCCAUUGGGUUCCCGUUGCUGUUCCUUUUGGGGUUCCAUUGCAUGUCCCCUUGGGUUCCCCUUGGGUUCCCCUUGGGUUCCCCUUGGGUUCCCCUUGGGUUCCCCUUGGGUUCCCCUUGGGUUCCCCUUGGGGUUCCCUUUGGGGUUCCUAUUGCCAUUCCCUUUGGGGUUCCUAUUGCCAUUCCCAUUGAGUUCCCAUUAGGGUUCCUAUUGCCGUUACCAUUGGGUUUCUCACUGGGAUCCUGUUGGGGUUCCUAUUGCGGAUCCCCUUGGGAUCUUUUUGGGGUUCCAGUUAGGAUUCCCAUUGCGUUCCUGUUGGGGUUCCUAUUGCGGUUCCCAUUGGGUUCCCCUUGGGGUUCCCAUUGCCGUUCCUUUUGAGAUCCCAUUGGGUUCCCCUUGGGGUUCCCAGUGCUGCUCCCUUUGGGAUCUUUUUGGGGUUCCCCUUGGGCUUCCUAUUGCCAUUCCCAUUGGGGUUCCCAUUGGGGUUCCUGUUGGGUUUCUCACUGGGAUCCUUUUGGGGUUCCACUUGGGGUUCCCCUUGGGCUUCCUAUUGCCUUUCCUAUUGGGAUUCCCUUUGGGGUUCCCAUUGGAUUUCUCACUGGGAUCCUGUUGGGAUCCCAUUGGGGUUCCCAUUGGGGUUCCCAUUGCCGUUCCCUUUGGGAUCCUUUUGGGGUUCCCCUUGGGGUUCCUAUUGCGGAUCCCCUUGGGAUCUUUUUGGGGUUCCAGUUGGGAUUCCCAUUGGGUUCCUGUUGGGGUUCCUAUUGCGGUUCCC